rnacentral:rRNA from 1 species
AUGGAGAUUGCCAUAGGGGCCAUUGGCCCUCUCCUCCGGAAGCUCGGUGAGCUGCUCAUCGGCGAGCUCACCAUGGAGAAACGAGUGAGGAAAGGCUACGAGUGUAUUGUGACAGAGCUCACAAUGAUGCAUGAUGCCCUCUGCAAGGUGGCGGAAGUGCCGGCGGACCAGCUUGAUAAGGGGGUGAAGAUCUGGGCAGGAAAGGUAAAGGAGUUGUCCUAUCAAAUGGAAGACAUUGUUGAUGCUUACAUGGUGCGUGUGGAGGAUGGUGGUGAGCCUACCAACCCGAAGAACAAAGUCAAGAAGAUACUCAAGAAGGUCAAAAGAUUAUUCAAGAAUGGCAAGGAUCUCCAUCGGAUCUCUGAUGCUCUGGAAGAAGUGGUUCUUCAAGCUAAGCAGUUAGCCAAGCUGCGCCAAAGGUAUGAGCAAGGGAUGCGAUAUCCUACCACUAGUACUAGUGUUGACCCUCGCAUGAUGGCCCUAUAUACAGAUAUGUCAGAACUCGUAGGCAUUGAAGAAACACGAGACGAGUUGAUCAACAUGUUGACUGAAGGUGAUGAUUGGUUGAAUCAUCCAUUGAAGACGGUCUCUAUUGUUGGAUUUGGUGGGUUGGGCAAGACAACUCUUGCCAAAUCUGCAUAUGAAAAGAUCAAAGGGCAAUUCGAUUGUGAUGCUUUUAUUUCGGUUUCUCAGAAUCCCGACAAGAAGAAAGUCUUCAAGAAUAUUCUCUAUGAACUUGACAAGAACAAGUAUGCACGCAUUCGUGGUGAAGAAUGGGAAGAAAAUCAUUUGAUCGAUGAAAUCAUCGAAUUCCUUAAUGGCAAGAGGUACCUCAUCAUAAUUGAUGACAUAUGGGAUAAAGGUGUGUGGAAAUUAAUCAAGUGUGCUUUCUCCAAGAAGAGUCCUGGAAGUCGAUUAAUCACGACAACCCGCAUUGUUAGUGUCUCUGAAGCAUGCUGCUCUUCUAGGGAUGAUAUUUACAAAAUGAAACAUCUUUCUGAUGAUGUAUCAAGAGUGCUUUUCUGUAAAAGAGUAUUUUACAAGAAAGGGUGUCCUCAAGAGUUGGUGCAAGUAUCCGAAGACAUUUUGAAGAAAUGUGGUGGCAUACCAUUAGCUAUUAUUUCUAUAGCAAGUCUCCUGGCUAAUAAUAAUCAGAGAAAAACCAAGGACCAAUGGUAUACUUUGCUCAAUUCCAUUGGCCGUGGACUCACGGAAGAUCAAAGUUUGGAGGAGAUGAAAAAGAUAUUAUUAUUCAGCUAUUAUGAUCUACCCUCAUAUCUGAAACCUUGUUUAUUAUAUCUUAGCAUCUUCCCAGAAGACCACAAGAUUAUGAGAGAUAGACUGAUAUGGAGAUGGAUAUCUGAAUGUCUUGUUUAUAGUGAUAAACAAGAAACUAGCUUAUAUGAGCUCGGUCAUAGCUACUUCAAUGAGCUAGUAAAUAGAAGUAUGAUCCAGCCAAUAGGCAUUGCUGGUGAAGAAAAGGUAUUGGCUUGCCGUGUACAUGACAUGGUGCUUGACCUCAUAUGCUCAUUGUCAAGUGAAGAGAACUUUGUUACAAUACUAGAUGGCACCAGAAGAAAAAUGCAUAACUCAGAAAACAAGGUACACAGAUUGUCCAUCCAAAAUAGCAAGAUAGAUGUGGAUACCAUUAGGAUGGAGAAUGUGAGAUCUCUUACUGUUUUCACAAGUGAUGUUGUUGGGAAAGUGUUGGAUAUUUCAAGUUUUCAAGUUCUGCGCGUGUUGGAUUUAGAAGGUUCUGAUGUCUCAGAUGUUGGGUAUGUGGGAAAUCUGUUACAUUUGAGGUACAUAGGGCUAAAAGAUACUAAUGUUAAGGACCUUCCAAUGGAAAUAGGGAAGCUGCAGUUUUUGCUUACCUUGGACAUCAGAGGUAGUAAGAUAAAGGUACUGCCGUCGAGUGUUGCUCAGCUAAAACACCUGAUGUGCCUGUAUGUUGACAGGUGUAUGAUGCUGCCAUCUGGAAUAGGUAACCUAACUUCCCUAGAAGUGCUAGAUGAGCUGGGGUUAUCUAACAAGGAUCUCGAUUUUGUGACAGAACUGGGCCAUCUGACCAAGCUCAGGGUGCUCCAGGUUGACUGUGAUGGUUUUGAUGAGAUCAUGGACAAAGCUUUGGAGGAAUCCAUUAGUAAUAUGUACAAAUUGGACAGUUUGGAUAUAUGUGUCCCUAUUGGGCCAAUCAAUUUCAUGAAGGAAGGUUGUGUGCUUCCUUUACAACUCCGAAGAUUGUCUUUGCCAACAGAGAACGGUUGGUUUGAUACACUGCCGACAUGGAUCAAUCCUUCAUCGUUUUCUCUCCUCUCUUAUCUGGACAUAACGAUUCUGAGAGUGCAAUUGGAGGACAUCCAGUUUCUUGGCAUCCUGCCUGCUCUUUGUUUUCUUCGGUUGAUGGAUUAUUAUAAUUACCACGGAGAGCAUAUAGUGGAAAUGUCUGCCCUUUCCUCUGUUCACCAAGGAGAGUACCAAGGAGAGUCUGGUGCUUUAUUCCCAUGCGCGACAGAGUGCCGCUUCUGUUUUAUUGGUGCCAUGCCGUCUAUGUUUCCAAGAGGAGCUGCACCAAGGCUUAAAUGCCUUGAGUUCUCCUUACCAGCUGAGUGGGUGUACCGUGAAAACUUUAAAUUGGGCAUGCGGCACCUCCCGUCCCUCAAGCAACUCGAUAUCUUAUUAGUUGUUAGGAAAGAAGCUAGCGACCAGGAGGCGGAUGAAGCAGAGGCUGCGUUGAGGGCCGCAGCGGAGGCGGAAGACCACCCCAACCAUCCCAUUCUUAGAUAUUUUGAAGCCCGUGUAGGGUAA